CACAAAACCGUAAAUAUAUAUAAUCUUAGCGAAAUGAAAUUUUCGUAUUGAUAGAAAAAGCAUCUCCAGUACCUUAGCUUGUCAAUUGAUUGAUGGUCUCAUAGGGACUUAAGAAAAUAUAGAAUUUGAGAAAAUUUACCAAAAGAAGUAUCGGAGAAAAUAAUUGUGCGAAUGGGCUUCAUGUCUUUAUUCUAUUUUGGGUGGGUAUCUUUUAAAGAUUUGAUCUUCUACUUUUCUGAAAACCUAGAU
rnacentral:lncRNA from 1 species